UGGCUGGUCGAAGAUACCAGGCCGCUGCGACUGUUUAUUAAAAACACAGCACUCUGCAAACACGAAAGUGGACGUAUAGGGUGUGACGCCUGCCCGGUGCCGGAAGGUUAAUUGAUGGGGUUAGCGCAAGCGAAGCUCUUGAUCGAAGCCCCGGUAAACGGCGGCCGUAACUAUAACGGUCCUAAGGUAGCGAAAUUCCUUGUCGGGUAAGUUCCGACCUGCACGAAUGGCGUAACGAUGGCGGCGCUGUCUCCACCCGAGACUCAGUGAAAUUGAAAUCGCUGUGAAGAUGCAGUGUAUCCGCGGCUAGACGGAAAGACCCCGUGAACCUUUACUGUAGCUUUGCACUGGACUUUGAGCCUGCUUGUGUAGGAUAGGUGGGAGGCUUUGAAGCGUGGACGCCAGUUCGCGUGGAGCCAUCCUUGAAAUACCACCCUGGCAUGCUUGAGGUUCUAACUCUGGUCCGUAAUCCGGAUCGAGGACAGUGUAUGGUGGGCAGUUUGACUGGGGCGGUCUCCUCCUAAAGAGUAACGGAGGAGUACGAAGGUGCGCUCAGACCGGUCGGAAAUCGGUCGCAGAGUAUAAAGGCAAAAGCGCGCUUGACUGCGAGACAGACACGUCGAGCAGGUACGAAAGUAGGUCUUAGUGAUCCGGUGGUUCUGUAUGGAAGGGCCAUCGCUCAACGGAUAAAAGGUACUCCGGGGAUAACAGGCUGAUACCGCCCAAGAGUUCAUAUCGACGGCGGUGUUUGGCACCUCGAUGUCGGCUCAUCACAUCCUGGGGCUGAAGCCGGUCCCAAGGGUAUGGCUGUUCGCCAUUUAAAGUGGUACGCGAGCUGGGUUUAGAACGUCGUGAGACAGUUCGGUCCCUAUCUGCCGUGGACGUUUGAGAUUUGAGAGGGGCUGCUCCUAGUACGAGAGGACCGGAGUGGACGAACCUCUGGUGUUCCGGUUGUCACGCCAGUGGCAUUGCCGGGUAGCUAUGUUCGGAAAAGAUAACCGCUGAAAGCAUCUAAGCGGGAAACUUGCCUCAAGAUGAGAUCUCACUGGGAACUUGAUUCCCCUGAAGGGCCGUCGAAGACUACGACGUUGAUAGGCUGGGUGUGUAAGCGUUGUGAGGCGUUGAGCUAACCAGUACUAAUUGCCCGUGAGGCUUGACCA
rnacentral:rRNA from 1 species